GACGAACGCUGGCGGCGUGCUUAACACAUGCAAGUCGAACGGUGAAGCGCCUUCCUUUUUGGUGGGUGUGGAUGAGUGGCGAACGGGUGAGUAACACGUGAGUAACCUGCCCCCUUCUUCUGGAUAACCGCAUGAAAGUGUUGCUAAUACGGGAUAUUCUGGGUCUGUCGCAUGAUGGGUCUGGGAAAGAUAUUGUUUCGGUGGGGGAUGGGCUCGCGGCCUAUCAGCUUGUUGGUGGGGUGAUGGCCUACCAAGGCGGUGACGGGUAGCCGGCCUGAGAGGGUGGACGGUCACACUGGGACUGAGACACGGCCCAGACUACUACGGGAGGCAGCAGUGGGGAAUAUUGCACAAUGGGCGCAAGCCUGAUGCAGCGACGCCGCGUGAGGGAUGGAGGCCUUCGGAUUGUGAACCUCUUUCGCCAGUGAAGCAGGCCUGCCUCGUUUGUGGGUGGGUUGACGGUAGCUGGAUAAGAAGCGCCGGCUAACUACGUG
rnacentral:rRNA from 1 species